GACGAACGCUGGCGGCGUGCUUAACACAUGCAAGUCGAACGGAAAGGCCCUGCUUUUGUGGGGUGCUCGAGUGGCGAACGGGUGAGUAACACGUGAGUAACCUGCCCUUGACUUUGGGAUAACUUCAGGAAACUGGGGCUAAUACCGGAUAGGAGCUCCUGCUGCAUGGUGGGGGUUGGAAAGUUUCGGCGGUUGGGGAUGGACUCGCGGCUUAUCAGCUUGUUGGUGGGGUAGUGGCUUACCAAGGCUUUGACGGGUAGCCGGCCUGAGAGGGUGACCGGCCAAAUUGGGACUGAGGUACCGCCCAGACUCCUACGGGAGGCAGCAGUGGGGAAUAUUGCACAAUGGGCGGAAGGCUGAUGCAGCAACGCCGCGUGCGGGAUGACGGCCUUCGGGUUGUAAACCGCUUUCGCCUGUGACGAAGCGUGAGUGACGGUAAUGGGUAAAGAAGCACCGGCUAACUACGUG
rnacentral:rRNA from 1 species